AUACGUAGGGGGCGAGCGUUGUCCGGAAUGAUUGGGCGUAAAGGGCGCGUAGGCGGCCGCUUAAGUCUGGAGUGAAAGUCCUGUUUUCAAGAUGGGAAUUGCUUUGGAUACUGGGGGGCUUGAGUGCAGGAGAGGUUAUCGGAAUUCCCGGUGUAGCGGUGAAAUGCGUAGAGAUCGGGAGGAACACCAGUGGCGAAGGCGGGUAACUGGACUGCAACUGACGCUGAGGCGCGAAAGUGUGGGGAGCAAACAGGAUUAGAUACCCUGGUAGUCCACACUGUAAAAGAUGAAUGCUAGGUGUAAGAGGUAUCGACCCCUUUUGUGCCGGAGUCAACACAAUAAGCAUUCCGCCUGGGGAGUACGGCCGCAAGGUUGAAACUCAAAGGAAUUGACGGGG
rnacentral:rRNA from 1 species